rnacentral:rRNA from 1 species
AGAGUUUGAUCAUGGCUCAGAUUGAACGCUGGCGGCAGGCCUAACACAUGCAAGUCGAGCGGUAGCACAGAGAGCUUGCUCUCGGGUGACGAGCGGCGGACGGGUGAGUAAUGUCUGGGAAACUGCCUGAUGGAGGGGGAUAACUACUGGAAACGGUAGCUAAUACCGCAUAAUGUCGCAAGACCAAAGUGGGGGACCUUCGGGCCUCAUGCCAUCAGAUGUGCCCAGAUGGGAUUAGCUAGUAGGUGGGGUAACGGCUCACCUAGGCGACGAUCCCUAGCUGGUCUGAGAGGAUGACCAGCCACACUGGAACUGAGACACGGUCCAGACUCCUACGGGAGGCAGCAGUGGGGAAUAUUGCACAAUGGGCGCAAGCCUGAUGCAGCCAUGCCGCGUGUGUGAAGAAGGCCUUCGGGUUGUAAAGCACUUUCAGCGGGGAGGAAGGCGNCGAUUGACGUUACCCGCAGAAGAAGCACCGGCUAACUCCGUGCCAGCAGCCGCGGUAAUACGGAGGGUGCAAGCGUUAAUCGGAAUUACUGGGCGUAAAGCGCACGCAGGCGGUCUGUCAAGUCGGAUGUGAAAUCCCCGGGCUCAACCUGGGAACUGCAUUCGAAACUGGCAGGCUAGAGUCUUGUAGAGGGGGGUAGAAUUCCAGGUGUAGCGGUGAAAUGCGUAGAGAUCUGGAGGAAUACCGGUGGCGAAGGCGGCCCCCUGGACAAAGACUGACGCUCAGGUGCGAAAGCGUGGGGAGCAAACAGGAUUAGAUACCCUGGUAGUCCACGCCGUAAACGAUGUCGAUUUGGAGGUUGUGCCCUUGAGGCGUGGCUUCCGGAGCUAACGCGUUAAAUCGACCGCCUGGGGAGUACGGCCGCAAGGUUAAAACUCAAAUGAAUUGACGGGGGCCCGCACAAGCGGUGGAGCAUGUGGUUUAAUUCGAUGCAACGCGAAGAACCUUACCUGGUCUUGACAUCCACAGAACUUNUUGGUGCCUUCGGGAACUGUGAGACAGGUGCUGCAUGGCUGUCGUCAGCUCGUGUUGUGAAAUGUUGGGUUAAGUCCCGCAACGAGCGCAACCCUUAUCCUUUGUUGCCAGCGGUUAGGCCGGGAACUCAAAGGAGACUGCCAGUGAUAAACUGGAGGAAGGUGGGGAUGACGUCAAGUCAUCAUGGCCCUUACGACCAGGGCUACACACGUGCUACAAUGGCAUAUACAAAGAGAAGCGACCUCGCGAGAGCAAGCGGACCUCAUAAAGUAUGUCGUAGUCCGGAUUGGAGUCUGCAACUCGACUCCAUGAAGUCGGAAUCGCUAGUAAUCGUAGAUCAGAAUGCUACGGUGAAUACGUUCCCGGGCCUUGUACACACCGCCCGUCACACCAUGGGAGUGGGUUGCAAAAGAAGUAGGUAGCUUAACCUUCGGGAGGGCGCUUACCACUUUGUGAUUCAUGACUGGGGUGAAGUCGUAACAAGGUAACCGUAGGGGAACCUGCGGUUGGAUCACCU